AAAUGCUUGUUUAAGACGUCACUUUGCCCCGAUAGAUGCAAUCACGAAACUGAAUUUUUUACGUUUAAGUUAAAAUUGGUAAAAAGUAAAGUAAAUAAUAAUUCCUCCCAUUUAAAGGACAUUUCCGUUCUUAAGGAAGGUGAUAAGCAUGCGACUUCUAAAAAAAGCCUUAAUAAAUAUUAUGACUUGGCCAAAACUUUGAAUCCCGGAGAUUUGGUCACUCUCAGUUGGGAUCACGACUACGUAACAAAGUUUUAUUAUGAUACAUCUUGUUCAGCUCCUGAACGACCAG